rnacentral:rRNA from 1 species
UACAGAGGUCCCAAGCGUUGUUCGGAUUCAUUGGGCGUAAAGGGUGCGUAGGCGGCGCGGUAAGUCGGGUGUGAAAUCUCGGGGCUUAACUCCGAAACUGCAUUCGAUACUGCCGUGCUUGAGGACUGGAGAGGAGACUGGAAUUUACGGUGUAGCGGUGAAAUGCGUAGAUAUCUGGAGGAACACCGGUGGCGAAGGCGGCAUUCUGGACCAAUAUUGACGCUGAGGAGCGAAAGCCAGGGGAGCAAACGGG